rnacentral:rRNA from 1 species
UCCUACGGGAGGCAGCAGUGGGGAAUAUUGCACAAUGGGCGCAAGCCUGAUGCAGCCAUGCCGCGUGUGUGAAGAAGGCCUUCGGGUUGUAAAGCACUUUCAGUCGUGAGGAAGGUAGUGUAGUUAAUAGCUGCAUUAUUUGACGUUAGCGACAGAAGAAGCACCGGCUAACUCCGUGCCAGCAGCCGCGGUAAUACGGAGGGUGCGAGCGUUAAUCGGAAUUACUGGGCGUAAAGCGCAUGCAGGUGGUUUGUUAAGUCAGAUGUGAAAGCCCGGGGCUCAACCUCGGAAUUGCAUUUGAAACUGGCAGACUAGAGUACUGUAGAGGGGGGUAGAAUUUCAGGUGUAGCGGUGAAAUGCGUAGAGAUCUGAAGGAAUACCGGUGGCGAAGGCGGCCCCCUGGACAGAUACUGACACUCAGAUGCGAAAGCGUGGGGAGCAAACAGGAUUAGAUACCCUGGUAGUCCACGCCGUAAACGAUGUCUACUUGGAGGUUGUGGCCUUGAGCCGUGGCUUUCGGAGCUAACGCGUUAAGUAGACCGCCUGGGGAGUACGGUCGCAAGAUUAAAACUCAAAUGAAUUGACGGA